UACAGAGACUGCAAGCGUUAUUCGGAUUCACUGGGCGUAAAGGGUGCGCAGGCGGUUUGGUGGGUCAGAUGUGAAAUCCCGAGGCUCAACCUCGGAACUGCGUCUGAAACUACUCGACUAGAGUACUGGAGAGGGUAACGGAAUCCACGGUGUAGCAGUGAAAUGCGUAGAUAUCGUGAGGAACACCAGAGGCGAAGGCGGUUACCUGGACAGUUACUGACGCUCAGGCACGAAAGCAUGGGGAGCAAAAGGG
rnacentral:rRNA from 1 species